UUGAUCCCGCCGGACCCGACUGCUAUUUGGGUGAGGAUAAACCAUGCGAGUUGUAUGGGAUACCUAAAUUUCCCAUAGCAAACUGCUUAGUAACACAUGAUCAACUUACCCUAUGGAGAAAUAUAACCUCGGGAAACUGAGGAUAAUGCUUCAUAGUUGAAUAGGCUUGGAAAAGUUUUUCAAUGAAAGGGAUAAGAAAAAUGGUUCUUAUCUGCCAUAGGAUAGGAUCGUGCUCGAUUAUGGUUGUUGGUGAGGUAACGGCUCACCAAGCCGAUAAUCGAUAGGGGCCGUGAGAGCGGGAGCCCCAAGAUGGGUACUGAGACAGCGACCCAGGCCUUACGAGGCGCAGCAGGUACGAAACCUCCGCAAUACACGAAAGUGUGACGGGGUUACCCAAAGUGUUCUUAUAGAACUGUGGCAGGUGAGUAAUGUCCCCUGCUAGAAAGGAGAGGGCAAGGCUGGUGCCAGCCGCCGCGGUAAAACCAGCUCUUCAAGUGGUCGGGAUAAUUAUUGGGCUUAAAGUGUCCGUAGCCAGUUUAGUAAGUUCCUGGUAAAAUCAGAUAGCUUAACUAUCUGCAUGCUAGGAAUACUGCUAUACUAGAGGGCGGGAGAGGUCUGAGGUACUACAGGGGUAGGGGUGAAAUCUUAUAAUCCUUGUAGGACCACCAGUGGCGAAGGCGUCAGACUGGAACGCGCCUGACGGUGAGGGACGAAAGCCAGGGGAGCGAACCGGAUUAGAUACCCGGGUAGUCCUGGCCGUAAACGAUGCAUACUAGGUGAUGAUACAGCCAUGAGCCGUGUCAGUGCCGUAGGGAAACCGUUAAGUGUGCCGCCUGGGAAGUACGGUCGCAAGGCUAAAACUUAAAGGAAUUGGCGGGGGAGCACCACAAAGGGUGAAGCCUGCGGUUCAAUUGGAGUCAACGCCGGGAAUCACUAGUGCGGCCGCCUGC
rnacentral:rRNA from 1 species